rnacentral:rRNA from 1 species
GACGAACGCUGGCGGCGUGCUUAACACAUGCAAGUCGAACGGGAUUUAGUAGACAGAAGCCUCGGCUAAAGAUUACUAAUGAGAGUGGCGAACGGGUGAGUAACGCGUGAGCAACCUGCCUAUGACAGUGGGAUAGCCUCGGGAAACCGGGAUUAAUACCGCAUAAAAUCGUAGAAACACAUGUUUUAACGGUCAAAGAUUUAUCGGUCAUAGAUGGGCUCGCGUCUGAUUAGCUAGUUGGUGAGAUAACAGCCCACCAAGGCGACGAUCAGUAGCCGGUCUGAGAGGAUGAACGGCCACAUUGGAGCUGAGACACGGUCCAAACUCCUACGGGAGGCAGCAGUGGGGAAUAUUGCACAAUGGGGGAAACCCUGAUGCAGCGACGCCGCGUGAACGAAGAAGGUAUUCGUAUCGUAAAGUUCUGUCCUAUGGGAAGAUAAUGACAGUACCAGAGAAGAAAGCUCCGGCUAAAUACGUG